GACGAACGCUGGCGGCGUGCUUAACACAUGCAAGUCGUACGGUAAGGCCCUUUCGGGGGUACACGAGUGGCGCACGGGUGAGUAACACGUGAGUAACCUGCCCACAACUUUGGGAUAACGCUAGGAAACUGGUGCUAAUACUGGAUAUGUGCUCCUGCUGCAUGGUGGGGGUUGGAAAGCUCCGGCGGUUGUGGAUGGACUCGCGGCCUAUCAGCUUGUUGGUGGGGUAGUGGCCUACCAAGGCGGCGACGGGUAGCCGGCCUGAGAGGGUGACCGGCCACAUUGGGACUGAGAUACGGCCCAGACUCCUACGGGAGGAAGCAGUGGGGAAUAUUGCACAAUGGGCGCAAGCCGGAUGCAGCAACGCCGCGUGCGGGAUGACGGCCUUCGGGUUGUAAACCGCUUUCAGCAGGGACGAAGCUUUUUGUGACGGUACCUGCAGAAGAAGCACCGGCUAACUACGUG
rnacentral:rRNA from 1 species